AUACCACCACUACCUUGUCACAAAACAACUGAUUGGCUCGAACACAUUAAGAAGAAAAUAAAUUCCACAUAUCAACUUUUAACAAGGCACACCUGUUAAUUGAAAUGCAUUACAGGUGACUACCUCAUGAAGCUGGUUGAGAGAAUGCCAAGGAUCUCAAAUAGAAAAUAUAUUUAGAUUUGUUUAACACUUUUUUGGUUACUACAUGAUUCAUAUUUGUGUUAUUUCAUAGUUGUGUCUUUCUUCACUAUCAUUCUACAAUGUAGAAAACAGUAAAAAACAUAAAAACCCUUCAAUCAGUAGGUGUAUCCUUCAAUGUAUCCUUCAAUGUAUCCUUCAAUGUAUCCUUCAAUGAGUAGGUGUAUCCUUCAAUGUAUCCUUCAAUGUAUCCUUCAAUGUAUCCUUCAAUGUAUCCUUCAAUGAGUAGGUGUAUCCUUCAAUGUAUCCUUC
ensembl:lncRNA